GGAAGGAAGCCGAAGAUGGGAAGUUUCUCGUUCGGAAGCGUCCUUCCAUCCUUCUGUUAACGUUUCUUGGUAUUCAUUUACUGGUUUCGGGCUCAGAUAUUUUACCUUGAGAAAAUUAGAGUGUUCUAGGCAGGCUUGCGCUGGAAUACAUUAGCAUGGAAUAAUAGAAUAGGACUUUAGUCUCCUUUGUUGGUUUGAGGGACUGGAGUA
rnacentral:rRNA from 1 species